CGCGGGAUGGAGCAGUCUGGUAGCUCGUCGGGCUCAUAACCCGAAGGUCGUUGGUUCAAAUCCGGCCCCCGCAA
rnacentral:tRNA from 1 species